rnacentral:rRNA from 1 species
CAGCACCUCAAGUGGUCAGGAUGAUUAUUGGGCCUAAAGCAUCCGUAGCCGGCGCUGUAAGUUUUCGGUUAAAUCUGUACGCUCAACGUACAGGCUGCCGGGAUUACUGCAGCGCUAGGGAGUGGGAGAGGUAGACGGUACUCGGUAGGAAGGGGUAAAAUCCUUUGAUCUAUUGAUGACCACCUGUGGCGAAGGCGGUCUACCAGAACACGUCCGACGGUGAGGGAUGAAAGCUGGGGGAGCAAACCGGAUUAGAUACCCGAGUAGUCC